rnacentral:lncRNA from 1 species
GAUUUGGCUGGCAUGGCACAAAUCCUUUGGUUGCAUUAGGCUUAAAAGACGUUCUGGCUUAAGGGAGAAGAGCAACAAAGGAAAAGUCUGCUGGACAGAUUUUGGUUUAAGGAACUCUACGAGAUAACUCAAUGUGCCUAUUCAAUGGAUCCAAGUCACCCAGCUAGGAAUUGUGCAGGCAGACAUGUAAUUUAGGCCGCUGGACUCCGGAGCCACAUUCUUACCUACCAUUGGAUAGAUCUCACUACACUGUUUGGGCUUCUGCUUGUUGUCAGGGCUAAACAAUUGGGAUGCAGUCCUGGUUAUUAAUUCUGUGCUAUCCCUAACAGGCAUAAUGUUUUAAAGCUGAUGAGAGAGAAAACUUUUUUUUUUUUUUAAUCAAUGCAUUCUACUUGACGUUAAGGAUUUCACUGCUGCCAGAAGAAUCAACUAACAGGUUGAGAUGCUCUUAGUCAUUCACACGGGAUUUAUGCUUGUGCCUUGCAAGGCAUAUGGUCAUGAAGAAUUGUGACUUGCCAUUAAAUUUGAGAAAAAUGCUCUUGCUUUCAACAAAUGAAUGCAAUUGGGUUGAUAGCAUGUGUCUAACCAGACAAGACAGAGAUGCAGAAGUUAAAUCUCUGGCAGCUUUUAUGUACAGAUAUGCAGUUUAUGAGACAUUGACAAAAGCAUUUAUUCCUGCUUUCUUUCUACUUCUGAAUCUUAAGUAUACUAGCAUCAAAAAUGAAGGAAAAAAGCAUUCUCAUAGAGUUCAUCUGAUAUCAGAAACUAUGAAAGGGAUGAAGAACAGUACUAACCACUCCAUAAAUGGCGCGUGAUCCAGGAACUGCAGCCCCCCCUGCACUGCCAUGAUGAGUAAUCAAAGGAGGUCAUUGUGACUUAAAGUGAAUGCCCUGGUGAAA